AUGUUCUUCUUUCUUCAAGGUGUCCUGUCACAGAUAACACUGACUGCGUCUGGACCAGGUGUCCUGAAGCCUUCACAGAACCUUUAUCUGACCUGUAGUGUCUCCAAUUUUCUGAACAAUUACUAUUACCACUGGAUUCGUCAACUGCCUGGAAGAGGUUUGGAAUGGUUGGCACGAAUAGAUAAAGGUGGGGCUGCUGUCUACUCACAGUUACUGAGAAGUGGACUGAUAAUUACAAUAAACAUCUACAAGAAUGAAUUCUACCUGCAAGUGACAAAUAUAAAACCUGAGGACUCAGGGACAUAUUACUGUGCAGCGAACACAGUGAGAAAGAGUAGCAAGAAAUCAGGAAAAUACCACAUGAUCUAA